AAGCUUACCUCAAUACCAUCAAAGCUGACGCCCAGGGAAGCAAGAAGGAAAUACACACUUCAAAAGUUAAAUACAUACUUAAGAAGGGGAAGCCAUAUAUCUGGGUACCUGAAAAGGAUAUGCAUAAUGUGAACACAAUCAUUGAUGAACGUGGUUCGUUGGCUGUCGCAUGUCCCUUUCCUGGCCCCCUAGCAAAUUUAUUCAGAUCAAUAAAGAAGUUACCUGCACGAACUGCUUUAACUG
rnacentral:misc_RNA from 1 species